GCUCCUUCUCUCUGUUUCUCUCAAGACGCGGAGGAGGGAAGGUGUGUGUAUCUGUGUGUAGACCUCACCUGACGCACCUACCGUGAUAUCAAUUAGUCCAGGGCUCAGGUGUAUGCAAUGACGAGGAUGAGGCGGCAGGUGCCUGAGAGGAGAGGGAAAGGUGUGAUGAGAGGUGACUGAGGGAGGGGAGGGAGAGGAGAGGUACCGUCUCAUCACUCCAUCACGACCACCAUCAUCGUCUGUGCUUGGCUUCUGUAUCUCCUGACAGAUGUGAUGGACAAGAUGGGACACAACCUCCACCCUCACUCGUAGAGAACAGAGGGACAAGUCAAGGAAGAUCAACUCUAUUACACAUGUUACUCAAGGAUUUCUAUGUCAGUGCCUCUCCCCUCCCUCUACUCCGCAGCACACACUACGAGAGCCAGGAGGAGGAGCGAGGGAAGGAGGGGCACUGUGCCACUGGACACAGCGACCCACCAAAGUGACUAGCAGUGUGGCUGGUUAUAUAACAGGGGAAAUGUAAGAGCAUUGACUCUCCCCACUAAGAGGAAAUGUAAGAGCAUCGACUCUCCCCACUAAGAAUUUUUUUUUUUUUUUUUUUUU